CCUACGGGAGGCAGCAGUGAGGAAUAUUGGUCAAUGGACGAGAGUCUGAACCAGCCAAGUAGCGUGAAGGAUGACUGCCCUAUGGGUUGUAAACUUCUUUUAUAUGGGAAUAAAAUGUUCCACGUGUCGGAUUUUGUAUGUACCAUGUGAAAAAGGAUCGGCUAACUCCGUUCCAGCCGCCGCGGUAAUACGGAGGAUCCGGGCGUUUUUCGGAUUUAUUGGGUUUAAAGGGAGUGUAGGUGGGUUGUUAAGUAAGUUGUGAAAGUUUUGGGCUCAACCGUAAAAUUGCAGUUGAAACUGGCAGUCUUGAGUACAGUAGAGGUGGGCGGAAUUCGUGGUGUAGCGGUGAAAUGCUUAGAUAUCACGAAGAACUCCGAUUGCGAAGGCAGCUUACUGGACUGCAACUGACACUGAGGCUCGAAAGUGUGGGUAUCAAACAGGAUUAGAUACCCCUGUAGUC
rnacentral:rRNA from 1 species